rnacentral:rRNA from 1 species
AGUGAACGCUGGCGGUAGGCCUAACACAUGCAAGUCGAACGGCAGCACAGUAAGAGCUUGCUCUUACGGGUGGCGAGUGGCGGACGGGUGAGGAAUACAUCGGAAUCUACUUUUUCGUGGGGGAUAAUGUAGGGAAACUUACGCUAAUACCGCAUACGACCUACGGGUGAAAGCAGGGGAUCUUCGGACCUUGCGCGAUUGAAUGAGCCGAUGUCGGAUUAGCUAGUUGGCGGGGUAAAGGCCCACCAAGGCGACGAUCCGUAGCUGGUCUGAGAGGAUGAUCAGCCACACUGGAACUGAGACACGGUCCAGGCUCCUACGGGAGGCAGCAGUGGGGAAUAUUGGACAAUGGGCGCAAGCCUGAUCCAGCCAUACCGUGUGGGUGAAGAAGGCCUUCGGGUUGUAAAGCCCUUUUGUUGGGAAAGAAAAGCAGCAGGUUAAUACCCCGCUGUUCUGACGGUACCCAAAGAAUAAGCACCGGCUAACUUCGUG